AAAAAAAAAAAAACACCCAAACCACCACCAAAAAGCCCACCCUCUUUUUUUUUUUUUUUUCUCCCAGUAAGAGACUUCAGCUGGGGAGUACUGCCUGCUGGUUUGCUGAAGAAGCAGAGAUGCUGCCUCUGCCUUCCCUUCAACCCAUAUUGACACUUUCCAGCAGCCUGUUCAGCUGGGGCUUGGUGCUGGCACCAUGGAGGCUGGCAGCUCCUCUCGAGGUUGGGGACUUGCUGACAGUAGACAAAAGGAGUGAGAGUGAGGCCCCCAGCCUGCCUUGCCAGACAACCGGUGAAUAGUACAGCUUCUUCAGCAGCUGCACUUUGGUCUGGGCUGGAACCAAUAUUUAAGGUACCGUGCAGAUGGAGACUACUGGACAUCCUUUGUACCUUACAGUUUGUAUUCAACAGCGACAAGACAGAAGAAGGACAGGAAACCAGAAGAGGAGCUACCUUUGCAGUGGUCCCCAGCAGAUGGGUCCUCACAUGAAGAACCUCAUGGAGAAGCAGCACUGUGGGUUGCAGACCUCUCCCAAGUUACGGUCUGCUCUUAAAUGAACUGAGAAAAUGACAAAAGUGAAGUCUGUGACUUGAUAGCAAAACAGAAUGGUGCUUUACACCUCUUGAAAGAAGGGAGAUCGCUCCUUGGCCUCAAUUACAGAUGGCUUAUGUAUGUUGAUCCUGGACCACAGAGGAGAGAAAAGCCACAAGGUUUGGCCUUUCCAUUUUUAUGACUGAUUUCAACAUGUUCAGUGUUAAUCAGAUAAAAACAAUUAAUUACAUAGGAUUUUAUGCUGUCUUCUGGAGAAAUAGUAUUCAUCAGGCCAACAAAUAAGACACUGAAUGUUCCCAUCAUAGUAGAGAAAGUUCUGCCUAGCAACACACUUCAGUUUUGGGGCUGGACAAAAGCAAGCAAAAUCCCCAAAUGUUGUGAUGGGUUAAGAUGAAAUGCUAACAUACUACUGGUAUCUCAAAAAAAAACUAAUAGGGCAAAGCCCUCGUCCUUUGAUGUAGGUACAGGCUCUAACCCCAUCAUUUGGUAGCUGGGAGCAUUUAUAGAUAACAAUGGGAUCUAAAAACUCAGGUAACCAGCCCACUUCAUUGCUGAUGUAGUGAUGAAGAGGACUGGUUCUAGUGUUCUUCAAGGCAAGGAGGGAAGCAGAAAAUGGGAUUAACAGGUUGGUCAAGUAGUUCUCCUUUUAAUGAGUCGUUCUCCAAAGUGUUAACCAAGGAACCCUUCUUACAUCUGGUGCAACGAAGAAUGUCUUGAGUCGUUAGACAAGCAGAAACUUUGUCUGGGCACAUUUGUCCCUCCUUCUCUGAGGGCAAUAUGGUGCUGCUAUGGGUCAUCCUAGUUGUCCUCCCUGCCCUCAUGUCUGAUGACCAGUGGUUGGGCUAAUUCCGUCUGGAAGCAGCACCAUGACGUGAAACAGCAGCAUACAGCUACUAGCACCACGUUUUGUCUCUUCCAGGAUGCAAUGCUCUCACCCUGAGAGAGAGAGAACAUUACAGUCCUCGUUGAUUCUGUACAUGAGGAAAUGUGUUAUCUCCUUAUUGCAGUCACGGGAGUAACAUCAGACCUGUGGCAUGGAAGCUCUCAGGCUGGAGGGAAAGGCUGGGUGUAGCCUCACUUGCCCCUGCCUGUUGGGGUGGUGUGCAUUGGAGGUCCAAACUAGGGCUGCAACUCCAACACCAGGGUAGGCUGCAUCUGCACACCCCCUGCAUACCCACUGCCAGUUGUGGGAUUGUCCAGGGACAGGUUCUGUUGGAGAGCACAUCUCCAUCUGACAUCGGUGGGGUCUUUCUCUCAAAGCGAACAUUAGGCAGCUAUCAAAGUGCCAUUUGUGAGCAAGAUUCAUGAACUAAUUAGUCACUGUGCCCAUUAAUCAGAAAGACUAGAAAUAAUUCAGCAGAAUUCAUGCUGUCAGCAAGGAUGAAAAGAGCCCUCUCUAUGACAGCUUACCUUGCAUUUUGAUCAUUAGGCGAUUCGGAGUUUAGCCCAUCCGUCUUGUUUAUCUGCCCUCAGGGGAAAAUAACCCCUGCAUCCUAGCCAUCUCGACAAGUUUGAAAUUCAAACAUAUUUUCAGUUCUGUCAGUAAAAUAUCAAAUGGGCACAUUCGGGUGAGUAUUGACACACAACGGUGCUGGUGCCUUUUUUUUUUUUUUUUUUUUUUUUUCCAAAUGUAUUGUAAACAAAUCCUUCCUUUCUCUGCUGCUGCAUUGCAUGUAGUAGCUCAGCACCAUUUUAGGAAAAGUGGAGGGUGGAGGGAAUGCACAAAUCAUUAAAAAACAGUUGAUUUCUAAUUAUUCUUAGCAGCCUUCCUAAGACCAGCCAAAGGCACUCCCCAGUGUAACUCCACCUUCUUGUGUCUUGGGUGAGAUUUAUUUACAUGUGCUUGAGUAAGAGAUACAUCUUAAAAUAAUCAAGCCAGUGUUUAUUUUGGCUUUCCUUGCAUCUUUUUUCCCCAUGUCAGAAAUCCAUCCAGAGCUUGUGCAGUAAAAUAUUUCUUUAACACAUGCAUACCACACUGUUGGUAUGAAGUAGGUUGGUCACUCCAGAAAGCAUACACUAACAAGGCAGUAACAGAUGGUCUUAGAUCUUGGUGCGGAGUUGUUGUGGCUGCUGUUUUUUCGUUAAGCAUUAAUUGCUGGAGGUGGAAAUCAUGCAUCUCAGUGUGCCAAAGCCCAGAGAUGGGUCUUACUGUGUGACUGGGAUGCAGAGAGUAGAGCAGAGAAGAGAGAAGUCUGGUUGGAAACCUGGGAUGCAGUGUAUUUGUGCCCUUUACAGUAAAGAUUGCCUGUCAUCACCAUCUUAGCAGUCACUCUCUGAGAUGCAAAGGGAUUUUAACAUGUAGCAGGGAAGGCUCACCAGACUUCUAGGAACUGGAAGAAAUCUGUGAGGUAAAAUGAGUUGUCCCUCUAAAGAAAGUCUGUCUGAAAGGAGCUGAUGGCCUGCUUGAGGUCAUACGAACGUGCAGUUGUAACUGAUGAGAGCUGAUGUAAUGGGAAUGUGGACCAUGCCAGGAGUGUGUUCAGUUGUGCUGUGCUGUGUACAGCUAUUUUGUGUUUGUAAUUCUACCAUAUAAAGAGCUGGAUCCCAGAGAUACUGGUAUCAAGUUCUUAUUGUUCUGUGGAAUGUUUAUGGAAAAAUGUUCCUUAUUUUGCCAAUAGAAAGAAUUUUUCUUCCAUAUUAUUUCCAAAAAGAAAAAAA